rnacentral:rRNA from 1 species
CGUAGGGCAAGCGUUGUCCGGAAUUAUUGGGCGUAAAGCGCGCGCAGGCGGCCUUGUAAGUCUGUUGUUAAACUUGGGCUCAACCCCAAGUCGCAAUGGAAACUGCAAAGCUUGAGUGCAGAAGAGGAAAGUGGAAUUCCACGUGUAGCGGUGAAAUGCGUAGAGAUGUGGAGGAACACCAGUGGCGAAGGCGACUUUCUGGGCUGUAACUGACGCUGAGGCGCGAAAGCGUGGGGAGCAAACAGGAUU